GGCGAGAUGGCCGAGUGGUCUAAGGCGCUGGUUUUAGGCACGAGUCACUUCGUAGGCGUGGGUUCCCCCACUCUCGUCA
rnacentral:tRNA from 1 species